rnacentral:misc_RNA from 1 species
GAUGAAGAACGCAGCGAAAUGCGAUACGUAAUGUGAAUUGCAGAAUUCAGUGAAUCAUCGAAUCUUUGAACGCAUAUUGCGCUCUUUGGAAUUCCGAAGAGCAUGCUUGUUUGAGUAUCAGUAAACACCUCAAAGCUUUUGGAUUUUUUAAUCGAAAAGCUUUGGACUUGAGCAAUCCCAACACCAAUCUUUUUGAGAUCGGUGGCGGGUUGCUUGAAAUGCAGGUGCAGCUGGACAUUCUCCUGAGCUAAAAGCAUAUUCAUUUAGUCCCGUCAAACGGAUUAUUACUUUUGCUGCAGCUAACAUAAAGGGAGUUUGACCGUAUUGGCUGACUGAUGCAGGAUUUCACAAGGGUCGGCAACGAUUCUUGUUAAACUCGAUCUCAAAUCAAGUAAGACUACCCGCUGAACUUAAGCAUAUCAAUAAGCGGAGGA